rnacentral:rRNA from 1 species
UUUAAAGUCUAAUCUGCCCAAUGAGGGUUUCAAUGGCCGCGGUAUUUUGACCGUGCAAAGGUAGCAUAAUAAUUAGUUUUUUAAUUGAAAGCUGGAAUGAAUGAUUGGACGAGAAAGUGGCUGUCUCGAAUUAAUUUAGUUAGAAUUUUAUUUUUAAGUAAAAAAGCUUAAAUUUUCUUAAAAGACGAGAAGACCCUAUAGAGUUUGAUAUUCUUGUAUUUAUAUUUAUAUUGAAGAAUUUUAUUUUAUUAUAAAUAUGAAAAUAUUUUGUUGGGGUGAUAGAAAAAUUAAAAAAACUUUUUUUUAUAUAAAACAUUAAUUUAUGAUUUUAUGAUCCAUUAUUUAUGAUUAAAAGAUUAAAUUACCUUAGGGAUAACAGCGUUAUUUUUUUUUAGAGUUCUUAUCGAAAGAAAAGAUUGCGACCUCGAUGUUGGAUUAAAAUUAAUAUUUGGUGUAGGUGCUAAAUAAUUAGGUCUGUUCGACCUUUAAUAUUUUACA